ACAAGACAAUGUAUCCAAUUAAAGGGCGUGUGCCCAUUUUUGCAGGAGAUAAUUUGAGAGUGGAGCUCUACCAUUUCACAUGAGAGAGUAGAGGAAUGACGAGUGGUUCCUUUACUUUAUCUUCCUCUUCUUCGCUUUUCCCCUCCUCGACUUCUAUUGGUGGUUGCCGUCGUAUCAUAACCGGCGUCGGCCUCUACCGCCUUUGCAGCGCUGUGGCCGCCACAACCUCUUCUUCUAGGAUUGCAUUUGAGAGGAAGAAACAUUGGAAAGAAGGUGAAUACCCAGGUUUCUCUGAAGUUUCCGUUUCGCACCUGAACAACAAGAAGGGGAGGAGGACCCCUAUUAACAAAAAAAUAGAUAGAAAGAAUACCGCCAAUCCUUGGGUCAAUACUGUUCCUGAAGCUCUUUCUGAUUGCAUUGAUAAAAAGCAAUGGCAACAAGCCCUUCAGGUGUUUGAGAUGUUAAAGAAGCAACCAUUUUAUCAACCAAAAGAAGGUACUUACAUGAGGCUCCUUGUUCUUCUUGGAAGAUGUGGGCAACCAGGACAGGCUCAACAGCUUUUUGAUUCAAUGAUUGAAGAGGGACUCGAACCUACUCCAGAACUUUAUACGGCCUUGAUUGGUGCUUAUUGUAGAAGUAACAUACUUGACAAGGCAUUUUCUCUUCUUAAUGCUAUGAUUGACCUACCUCAUUGUCAGCCAGAUGUUUACACCUAUAGUAUAUUAAUCAAGGCAUGUGUGGAUGCUAGCCGAUUUGAUUUGGUUGAGUCACUUUAUGAACAAAUGGCUGAUCGUUCCAUAGUUCCUAAUACUGUCACUCAGAAUAUAGUCUUGAGUGGUUAUGGUAGGGCAGGCAAGUAUGCAGAAAUGGAGAAAGUGCUUGUAGGGAUGCUAGAGAGUGCUGACAGCAAACCUGAUGAAUGGACUAUGAACACUAUCCUGAGCAUAUUUUGCAACAAGGGGCUGAUUGUAAUGAUGGAGAGAUGGUAUGAAAAAUUCUGUAAUUUUGGGAUUGAGCCUGAAACGCGGACAUUUAAUAUCCUCAUUGGUGCUUACGGGAAGAGAAAGAUGUAUGAUAAAAUGUCAUCUGUAAUGGAGUACAUGCGUAAACUCUCAUUUCCAUGGACAACAUCAACAUACAAUAAUGUCAUUGAGGCGUUUUCAGAUGCAGGUGAGGCAAAGCAUAUGGAAUACACCUUUGAUCAAAUGCGUGCCGAAGGGAUGAAAGCUGACACCAAGACCUUUUGCUGCCUCGUCAGGGGAUAUGCAAAUGCAGGCCUUUUUCAUAAGGUGAUCAACACUGUCCAGUUAGCUGGGAAAUUGGAGAUCCCUGAAAAUACUUCCUUAUUCAAUUCUGUUAUUUAUGCGUGUGCAAAGGCUGAGGACGUAAUGGAGAUGGAGAGGGUUUUCAAGCGAAUGAAAGACAAGCAAUGUCAACCUGAUCUCAUGACUUACUCUACUAUGAUAGAUGCAUACCAGAAAGAAGGCAUGACAGACAAAGUUUAUGAUUUGGAACAAGAAAAGCUCAUGAUGGUUGCCAUUCACUCCAAUGACAGCCACAAUGAUGAAAAAAAGCUAGAGCUGCUGCCUACUUGAAAGCUAAUUCAAGCAGGUAGUGCUCUGCCCUCCCUGUACUUCAAGUUUCUGGGGCCUUUUCCUAUGUUUAAUAUAAUGGAUUUCUUGGAAAUGGACCUUUGAUUUGACUCAACCCAAAAAUUGGCUCAUGAAGUGGAAAAUUUAAAGGACCAUAGAAGGAGACCAACUACCCAUCACACAACCGAUGUGGAUCUUCUAGUCCCCCUGCACACCCAAGAUUGGAUAUCUAGAGCAUUUACAAUAUAGUUUGAGACCCUUAAAUAGGGUAAGCCAAGAAUUGGGAUGGGUCUGACUUUGACACCGUGUUAAGAAAUAGAUUUUGGGUCUAACUCAAUUGCGUAAACUAGCGAUGAUACCGUAUUGAAAUGUGUGACCAUCUCAUUAUAUUAUAACAUGUUAGAGAGCACACUUUUAUUGACUUAAUUAUAUCUACACCUGAGUUUUUAUAAGAUGGAUUCUUUUGAAUAAGUGUAGGGAGGGGGAUUUUGGGAAGAUCACAUGGGAGAGAGGAGGGUAUGAAGUAUGAAAAAUAAUAAUAAAUUUAGCUGAAAAGAGGUUUUAUGCCAUCAAAAUCGAAGUGGUACACAUGGUUUGCUACAUCAGCAUCUUGUAUAUACAAGCCACACUUUUGUCAAUCAAAGGUGUUCAACUGCUCUUGGCUGAUGAUAAAAUGUCUAACUGAUGUAUCGUGCUAACUUGAAUGGACUAUCUAGAUUAUCAGCCAGAAUUUAUGUAAUGGACUAUUUAUGUAUCUUGUUCAUUUAUGUUUUUUUUUUUGUGUCUCUGUAAGGAGAGAAAUAACAUAUGCUUUGAUGGAAUCUCAACUCCUAUGUUUGGAAUGUUUA